rnacentral:rRNA from 1 species
UUGAACGCUGGCGGCAUGCUUUACACAUGCAAGUCGAACGGUAACAGGCCGCAAGGUGCUGACGAGUGGCGAACGGGUGAGGAAUGCAUCGGAACGGGCCCAGUCGUGGGGGAUAACUACUCGAAAGAGUAGCUAAGACCGCAUACGAUCUAUGGAUGAAAGCGGGGGACCGUAAGGCCUCGCGCGAUUGGAGCGGCCGAUGUCAGAUUAGGUAGUUGGUGGGGUAAAGGCUCACCAAGCCAACGAUCUGUAGCUGGUCUGAGAGGACGACCAGCCACACUGGGACUGAGACACGGCCCAGACUCCUACGGGAGGCAGCAGUGGGGAAUUUUGGACAAUGGGCGCAAGCCUGAUCCAGCAAUGCCGCGUGCAGGAAGAAGGCCUUCGGGUUGUAAACUGCUUUUGUACGGAACGAAACGGCUCUGGUUAAUACCCGGGGCUAAUGACGGUACCGUAAGAAUAAGCACCGGCUAACUACGUG